GAACUCUCCUUGGCCGAGUGGGGAGGGAAAGGUUUUAUGGUUGGGAUGGCUCAGGCCUUUCAGCUUGUGGUGGGUAAUGCUAACCAAGGAACGAUGGUAGCCGCCUAGAAAGGUAACCGCCCCACUGGGACUGAACCCGGCCCCGACUCCUACGGGAGGCAGCAGGGGGAAUAUUGCACAAUGGGCGGAAGCCUGAUGCAGCGACCCCGCGUGAGGGAUGACGCCCUUCGGGUUGUAAACCUCUUUCAGUAGGGAAGAAGCGAGAGUGACGGUACCUGCAGAAGAAGCGCCGGCUAACUACGUGCCAGCAGCCGUCGUUAUCCCUAGCGCGCAAGCGUUGUCCGGAAUUAUUGGGCGUAAAGAGCUCGUAGGCGGUUUGUCGCGUCUGCUGUGAAAGCCCGGGGCUCAACCCCGGGUCUGCAGUGGGUACGGGCAGACUAGAGUGCAGUAGGGGAGACUGGAAUUCCUGGUGUAGCGGUGAAAUGCGCAGAUAUCAGGAGGAACACCGAUGGCGAAGGCAGGUCUCUGGGCUGUUACUGACGCUGAGGAGCGAAAGCAUGGGGAGCGAACAGGAUUAGAUACCCUGGUAGUCCAUGCCGUAAACGUUGGGCACUAGGUGUGGGGGACAUUCCACGUUUUCCGCGCCGUAGCUAACGCAUUAAGUGCCCCGCCUGGGGAGUACGGCCGCAAGGCUAAAACUCAAAGGAAUUGACGGGGGCCCGCACAAGCGGCGGAGCAUGCGGAUUAAUUCGAUGCAACGCGAAGAACCUUACCAAGGCUUGACAUUCACCGGACCGCCCCAGAGAUGGGGUUUCCCUUCGGGGCUGGUGGACAGGUGGUGCAUGGUUGUCGUCAGCUCGUGUCGUGAGAUGUUGGGUUAAGUCCCGCAACGAGCGCAACCCUCGUUCUAUGUUGCCAGCACGUGAUGGUGGGGACUCAUAGGAGACUGCCGGGGUCAACUCGGAGGAAGGUGGGGAUGACGUCAAAUCAUCAUGCCCCUUAUGUCUUGGGCUUCACGCAUGCUACAAUGGCCGGUACAAAGGGUUGCGAUACUGUGAGGUGGAGCUAAUCCCAAAAAGCCGGUCUCAGUUCGGAUUGAGGUCUGCAACUCGACCUCAUGAAGUCGGAGUCGCUAGUAAUCGCAGAUCAGCAACGCUGCGGUGAAUACGUUCCCGGGCCUUGUACACACCGCCCGUCAAGUCACGAAAGUUGGUAACACCCGAAGCCGGUGGCACUAAGACCGCCUUGUGGGUACAUCGGCGCGGCGGAGUGUGUUCG
rnacentral:rRNA from 1 species